rnacentral:tRNA from 1 species
GCCUGGGUGGCUCAGUUGGUUGAGUGUCUGACUUCGGCUCAGGUCAUGAUCUCACAGUUCAUGGGUUCGAGCCCCAUGUUGGGCU